UACGGGGGGGGCAAGCGUUGUUCGGAAUUACUGGGCGUAAAGGGCUCGUAGGCGGCCAACUAAGUCAGACGUGAAAUCCCUCGGCUUAACCGGGGAACUGCGUCCGAUACUGGUGGGCUCGAAUCCGGGAGAGGGAUGUGGAAUUCCAGGUGUAGCGGUGAAAUGCGUAGAUAUCUGGAGGAACACCGGUGGCGAAGGCGGCAUCCUGGACCGGCAUUGACGCUGAGGCGCGAAAGCCAGGGGAGCAAACGGG
rnacentral:rRNA from 1 species